CCUACGGGUGGCAGCAGUGAGGAAUAUUGGUCAAUGGACGAGAGCCUGACCCAGCCAAGUAGCGUGAAGGAUGAAUGCUCUAUGGGUUGUAAACUUCUUUUAUAUGGGAAUAAAAUGUUCCACGUGUGGGAUUUUGUCUGUACCAUAUGAAUAAGGAUCGGCUACCUCCGUGCCAGCAGCCGCGGUAAUACGGAGGUUUCCAGCGUUAUCCGGAUUUAUUGGGUGUAAAGGGAGCGUAGGUGGAUUGUGAAGUCAGUUGUGAAAGUUUGGGGCUCAACCGUAAGAUUGCAGUUGAAACUGGCAGUCUUGAGUACAGGAGAGGCGGACGGAAUUCGUGGUGUAGCGGUGAAAUGCGUAGAUAUCACGAAGAACUCCGAUUGCGAAGGCAGUUCACUGGACUGCAACUGACACUGAGGCGCGAAAGUGUGGGUAUCAAACAGGAUUAGAUACCCGAGUAGUC
rnacentral:rRNA from 1 species